rnacentral:rRNA from 1 species
UACGAAGGGGGCUAGCGUUGUUCGGAAUUACUGGGCGUAAAGGGCGCGUAGGCGGUCCUGAUCGUCGGAUGUGAAAGGCCUGGGCUCAACCUGGGAAUGGCAUCCGAUACGGCGGGACUGGAGUGUGGGAGAGGUUGGUGGAAUUCCCAGUGUAGAGGUGAAAUUCGUAGAUAUUGGGAAGAACACCGGUGGCGAAGGCGGCCAACUGGACCACAACUGACGCUGAGGCGCGAAAGCGUGGGGAGCAAGCAGG